GAACGCAUAUUGCGCCCUUUGGUAUUCCGAAGGGCAUGCCUGUUCGAGCGUCAUGAUCAAACCUCAAGCAUUGCUUGGUAUUGGGUUUUCGUCUCUGCCUGUCUUUGUAUUGGUAGCGACGUGCCUGAAAGUUAAUGGCGGUGCCUCAAUAGACUCAAGCGAAGCAGACUGACUCGCUUUGGAGAACUUUUGUUGUACUGUUAACAAAACAAUCAAGUUUGGACCUCGGAUCAGGUAGGGAUACCCGCUGAACUUA
rnacentral:misc_RNA from 1 species